AAAUCAUUUUGAUUCCUUACAAUAUAGUCUGAUAUGUGUCUACUCAGAAGUAAGUCUGAUUGACUUCAUUGGGGCUUACUCCCAGAUUUACCUGUAACUCCCAAGCCUUUCAGUGAUCUCAGAGGGAUUUACCUCUGGCUAAAUCUUCACUCGCUCUUCCCAC